GCAAGCCUGAUCCAGCAAUGCCGCGUGUGUGAAGAAGGCCUUCGGGUUGUAAAGCACUUUUAUCAGGAGCGAAAUACUACGGGUUAAUAACCCGUGGGGCUGACGGUACCUGAGGAAUAAGCACCGGCUAACUUCGUGCCAGCAGCCGCGGUAAUACGAAGGGUGCAAGCGUUAAUCGGAAUUACUGGGCGUAAAGGGUGCGUAGGCGGUUCGUUAAGUCUGUUGUGAAAUCCCCGGGCUCAACCUGGGAAUGGCAAUGGAUACUGGCGAGCUAGAGUGUGUCAGAGGAUGGUGGAAUUCCCGGUGUAGCGGUGAAAUGCGUAGAGAUCGGGAGGAACAUCAGUGGCGAAGGCGGCCAUCUGGGACAACACUGACGCUGAAGCACGAAAGCGUGGGGAGCAAACAGGAUUAGAUACCCUGGUAGUCCACGCCCUAAACGAUGCGAACUGGAUGUUGGUCUCAACUCGGAGAUCAGUGUCGAAGCUAACGCGUUAAGUUCGCCGCCUGGGGAGUACGGUCGCAAGACUG
rnacentral:rRNA from 1 species